rnacentral:rRNA from 1 species
UACGGAGGGUGCGGGCGUUAAUCGGAAUUACUGGGCGUAAAGCGCGCGUAGGCGGUUUGGUAAGUCAGUUGUGAAAUCCCCGGGCUCAACCUGGGAAUGGCAUUUGAUACUGUCAGACUGGAGUGUGGUAGAGGGAAGUGGAAUUCCGCAUGUAGCGGUGAAAUGCGUAGAUAUGCGGAGGAACACCAGUGGCGAAAGCGGCUUCCUGGACCAACACUGACGCUGAGGUGCGAAAGCUUGGGGAGCAAACAGG